GAAAACAAUGUAGUAAUGUCAUACAAUAGCUGCAGAUAUAUAUAUAGUCUCGAUCCGUUUUCUUACUGCAAUAAAGUAUCCUAUUUUCUAUAUUUGAGUUUGUUAUGCCGAUUAAAUUUCAAAAAAAAAAAAAAACUUCCAAAGAAAUAUAUAGUGUUACAAUUGUAGCACUAGAUAUAAUAACUUAUGUAAUAUUUCGAUUUUGUUCUGAGACAGAAACGCGAUUAACUCAUUUUCCAGUACAUUAGGCUUGUGAGCAACCAAAAACACAGUGAUUCUGGUUGAGGGUGUACCAAAUUAAAGUAUUACAUAGAUUAUGAAUUAUUAGGACUCACAGUCUAUGUACUUGUAGGACUUAAUUUGUGUUGUACUAGAUUACCUUACCUAUUCCCCUUACCAAUAUAAUAUCCCCUUUGUAUUCAUAAUAUAUAUGAAACAGAUAUGCAACCAUGAGCCUCUGUACAUGAAUGUCAUGCCAGCGAGAAGUGCCAUGAUCUAACCUUUAGGGUUGAGUUUGGUUGAAGUUCAUUUCUUCACAUGACCAAUUUGUGUAUUACCCAAUGACGGACCCCC
rnacentral:lncRNA from 1 species